GUCUAUGGCCAUGCUAUCCUGAACAAGCCCGAUCCCGUCUGAUCUCAGAAGCUGAGGUCAGGCCUGGUUAAUACUUGGAUGGGAGACCACCUAGAAAGACCACGUGCUGUAGGUG
rnacentral:rRNA from 1 species